UUGUGAAGAGACAUGAGAGGUGUAGGAUAAAGUGGGAGGUCCUCGGGCCGACGGUGAAAUACCACUACUCCCAUUGUUUUUUUACUUAUUCAGUAAAGCGGGGAGCGACCCUCGGGUCCCGUUUCUAGCCUUAAUCACGGAUUUAUAACCAUACGAAGAAUUUCCUCCUGGUUUUGUUACACACUGCAACACCUAACCCGACUACAU
rnacentral:ncRNA from 1 species